GAUGAACGCUGGCGGCGUGCUUAACACAUGCAAGUCGAACGAUGAACCCGGAGCUUGCUCCGGCGGAUUAGUGGCGAACGGGUGAGUAACACGUGAGUAACCUGCCCUUGACUCUGGGAUAACUGCUAGAAAUGGUAGCUAAUACCGGAUACGACCCUCGGUGGCAUCACCAGGGGGUGGAAAGAAUUUCGGUCAAGGAUGGACUCGCGGCCUAUCAGCUAGUUGGUGAGGUGACGGCUCACCAAGGCGACGACGGGUAGCCGGCCUGAGAGGGUGACCGGCCACACUGGGACUGAGACACGGCCCAGACUCCUACGGGAGGCAGCAGUGGGGAAUAUUGCACAAUGGGCGCAAGCCUGAUGCAGCAACGCCGCGUGAGGGAUGACGGCCUUCGGGUUGUAAACCUCUUUCAGCACAGACGAAGCGCAAGUGACGGUAGGUGCAGAAGAAGGACCGGCCAACUACGUGCCAGCCGCCGCCGUAA
rnacentral:rRNA from 1 species